rnacentral:tRNA from 1 species
CGGGGUGUAGCGUAGCGGUUUAACGCGCUUGCUUUGGGAGCAAGAGAUCCCGGGUUCAAAUCCCGGCACCCCGACCA